UUGACUCCAUAUUGAAGUAAAUUUGAGAAAGUCGGUUUGAGCAGUCUUCAAGAGGGUGUGAGCUUUGAGCUUGUGCUUGAUGUGUAAAGGUCAUCACAUAACAUUUAAUAACCUGUCACCACAACUAAAGACAGGUAUCAAAAGACAAUAAAGAGAUCAGAACAUGGUUUCUCACCAAGUCUGAUCUCCAAAAACACCUUAACAAAGAACACAAUGGACAUAAACUUUCUUGAAACUAUUCAAGCAACAACACUGAAUCCUAAUUAUCAUAACUAACCAUUCAGGUAACAUAGAAACAUCACAACCUAACACCAGGUCUAAACAACAUUUUAAAAGAAAUUUCUAAACUUUUUCUUGACAAUUUUGAAGCAAAUAAACCAGACAAUUUUCUAGACAAGAUUAGAAUAAUAUAAUGGCAUAUUUUUUUUUUUUUUUUCAGAGACAGAGAUUAAAAAUAGCACUAAGACUCUUAACAAAAUUCUAAGGCAGACAAAUACUUAGACAAAAUGACAAUUGGACAGUCUUUUCAUGUGUAGAAACUAGACAAGAACAACAAGCUAGUUUCUAAACACCCUAAGACAACACAAACGACCAGCACACACAGUGCUUUUAUUAGAGUAGAAAAUUCCGCUUACUCUCAAGAAACCUGAGCUGGUUUCUUGACUCUCCAGCCCAUGGGGGCUUAUUGAAAGUACAUUUGUUUCAGAUGUGGAUUGAAUAUCCACCACCUAUCCUUAGUGAGUCCUUCCUUGCAGUGCUGACUCUUCUGACCUUUCUUCUCUUCCAACUUGAAGUAGGAUUUGUUGGACAGAGACUGAGCUUCUGGUUGUCUCUCAUUAACAUGAGCAAAGACCUUGCAGAUUUUCCAUGGAGCUUCAUCUGAAGUAUGGCUCCAAACACCUUUGCCUCUAUGGUUUUUCUUCAUCAUUCUGACCCAGAGAGAGUAGUUUGGAGUUUUGAGCUUCACUGAACUCGCCCAUGCUUGAAUAUUCAUCAUCUUGAAGAUUUUUGGACCAGUGGAUAAUAGGAUGUUCCUACUGGUUUGAAAGGGACAGGAUUUGAAAGACUGGACUUUGAUGAAGCUUGCUGAACUGAGCUAAGACUUUCUUGAGUUCCAGAGACUGAGAUACUCCUUUAUCUUGAGUUCUGGUGAGGUUUUCCUCUCCUGGAAAACCUUUGGACCAGAGGAUAAAAGGAUGUAACAAACAGGUUUGAACAGAUUUUUAAAGAGAGAUUUUGGACAGGGAUGAUUUGCGGAAGCAAUAUAGGUUCUCAAGAGCUUGUGGCUCUGAUACCAUGAAAGAAUUGAGAUGAAAUAAAAGGAAUAUGAUGAGAAUAAGCUUCUGGUUCAGUAUGAAACCAGAGAGAGUGAUUGAUGAGCAAUUGAAAGUAAUGAGAGAGUGAAGAGAGUAUAAAGUGUUUGGGAGAGUUUCUGAGUAUGCUAGAGUAUAAGGGAGUAAUGGAGGUCGUGAGAGACAAGAGAAUAGAGAGAGAAUCUGAGAGUGUAGUAACCAGAGUAUGUGAAGAAAGAGUUUUACUCUCCUUAGUUUACAAUCAGAUACAUCAUUAUCUUAAAUAGACAAGCACACAUAUUAAACAAAUACUAAAACAGGGUUUUACUAAACAAAUAAUAUUGUAGGGUUUUCUGGUGAAGCCAGGAAGGUACAGCCAAGGUGAAUCUCGACCAGAGGGAGUAGAGAGUGACAGGGGAGAGAGAUGGGCACAGUCUGGUUGGGUGAAAGUGACAGCAGGUUCAUCCUCUUAUGCACAUGUGACUUUUACUCUAUUUAAUUCCCAACUUGUCUCAGCUCUCUCCAACGGUCUGAUGCUCCAUUUUAACUUCAAAUCUGCUUCAGAAGAUCAAGCUGUACGAGUUCCUCACCUGCCUUACCAUCCAAGUCACUCUAGGUAACUUGGAAGCCAAGACUGUACGGACUGCCUUGUGUAGCAAGGUUUUCCAGACCUGAAUCUUUUCAAGUAUCUCUUCUUCUCUUUGUCUUCUUUAUUUAUAAGAUCAAUGGAUCACACACAGCCAUGCUUCUUCCUUCUCCACUCUAACCAUAACUUGGUUCACAAGUCUGUAUGAACCAGUCUCAUCUUUGAAGUAUCCAGAUUACUUCCUCUACAAUAUCAAACUUGGAUCAUGAACCAGCUUCUUCUUCUGGUCAUUCCCUUCUUCAUUUCAACACCCACGGCCUUGCACUUGGAUUGGCCGAGAAAAGGAUAUAUAGAAACGAGAGUGAUGUACUGACGGGUGCGAUCAUCCCCCUCAAGCUUGACCAUAGGAGAUCCUUGGACAAGCUUGGAACCUUGAAGAAGCUCCCUCAUUAAAAACCUUAGCAAGAAAACCCAUUGGGACAAAACUUGCUAAGGGAAAAAGAGUGGAGUUUCUACAAAGCUUAGGGAUUGGCCAGUGAGCCUAAGGAACUUCAGAUUCAUCAUGGUGGAGUCCUUAGGCUCUGGAUCGUGGCCUAAUAGGUAUAGCAAGUAUGAAUCACCAUAACUUGCUAUCCUUGAGCACAAGUGGCCGGCUGGAUCAUUUUGUGGCCGGUUUAGGGUCUCUCUCUCUCUCAACUGGCUUCAAGCUACCUUAGGAAGGCUAGGACAUGACCGGAUCAUCAUCAUCAUCUUCAGUGAGGCUCAAGCUUAUUUUGGUACCUGAUACAUCAUUUCAAAAGUGCAUCAGUUCUUAAGGAAAUGCACUCAUCACAUCAAACUCAAUAAUAGUUUAAGUAUAAGGACAAUCUUGAAUGUAUUGAGAUGAGUUUAAGGUGCUUCCCUUUUAUAAGAAUGGUGAGCUCAAUCACACGGUUGGUACUGAGUAAUGCAAGAGUGAAUCCACUACUUGCAAACUUGGAUUGGCGCCAAUUCCUUCACCAUCAAAUCACCUUUGAGCUUCUUCUUAUGACCUGAGCUUGUCUCCCCCUUUCUUCUGGCUUCUUGCCUCUAUUUAGGGGUUGAGACAAAGCUUGCCUUUGUUCAUGAGCUCAAUAGGUACCUGAUUCAAUCAUACAAAGAAUGCAUGUAUCAAUUCUCAAGGGGAAAACCUAUUCUCACAUAAGAAUAAGGAUGGUUUUAGGUACUCCCCUUGCAUUAGUUUCUGGAAUGUUGAUGAGGAGUGCAGAGCACUUGAAUCCUCCACGCCAUUCCUUCUCUCAACCAGCCUUUGCAUUGUUCUCUUGAAGUUUCAACAUGUAGGGGGACUUUGCAACUCCAUAAUUUGCCACCAUCAUGUGAUUGCUUAGCCAAGAAUGUCCCUGAUUGAAUAAUCCUUGCAUCUGGCUGGUAAGAACAGUGAGGAGUGACAGCUUCUUCAGACUGAUCACUUAAGUCCUCUUUUAAUUUGCCAACCUCUUGCUGGUCUUCUAUGAGGAAAUGGGACACUGGAUAUAAUAAGCUUCAUGGAUCUUUUGGUAGCUCACUGAUAUUCCCCUCCUCAAGCUUGACUGAGUAUAGUGACAAGCUUGAACGUGAGCUUCAAUGAGUUUUGAACUGGGAGCACAACAAUACCAACAUCUGCGCUUAAGCCAACCAGUUCACCAUCUUCCAGGAGCACAACAAUACCAACAUCUGCGCUUAAGCCAACUGGAUCACCAUUUGCCUUCAGCUCCAAUGUCUUUGGACCACCAGUCUCCUCAUGACUUAGGUGAUGGCCUUCCUUGUGAGUCUCUUGAACCAGGAGCACAACAGCUCCUACGCCUGCGCUUAAGCCAACUGAUUCCACUCAUAAGAUGUCUCUCCAUGGUCAGUAAUAUACACCAAGUGUAGGCUCUGAACAACAUGGUCUCUUUUCUCCAUGUUCAGGAAUAUGCAUCUUGUGCAGGCUCUGAUCAACAUGGGUAUAUCUCUUUUCCUGUUGCUGCUUCUGGUCUAAUAGUCACAUCAUGUGUCCUACACACCAUUACAACUCAGAUAGGGAUCAGUAACAUCAGCAUGGGACCAGAUCAUGUAAUAAAAUGAAGACUGGUCGCAACUGCUUAAAAAAAAAACAGAUUGCAAAACAGCUUAUCACCUCCUAUGACAGCUUUAGAAACAAUAUGAAUGCACCAGGAACAAUAUGUAUGCCUCUUUAAUACAAUCCAAUAUGCAUUUUUAAGACAAUCCAGAUGCUAAAGAAGACUAGGCUAAUAACCUAAUCAAUUUCAACAACAGCAUGAAUACACCACACAUCUAGGAACACUCCUAGAUACUUAACAAUCUCAAGGCAGACAUGACAAUUAAAGGACUCCCAAUCGAUAUCAAUAUAUCAUGGAUGCAUGACAACCUAGGCAGACACUUCUAGGAACAAAAACAACCACAGAUGAUAAGAUUAAGACAAAAUGCAACUUCUAGCAACUUAUCAUGAUCCAUUGGACUCUAAACCAUCACUCAAAAACGACCAGACACAUUACACAAGCUAUUGUUCAGGUUUAGGAGGUUUAACUUACAGCCAAGGAACCUGGGCUGGUUCCUUGAACCUUCAUAUACACACUACUCAUCUGAGCUUGGUGGAUUUGAGUUUUGGAUUCAUUACCCAACUCCUUUUCCUUGUGUGUUUGGCCCUGUUUGUAAAGCUCACCCUUGGAUCCCCUCCUGUCCUCCUGGUCUUCUUGGUUCUAUUGGACAUCAUCCGCCUGUGAACUUUCCUUGAAGCAUGGCUGAAUUUGAGUGCUUUUAAGAACAUGAGAUGAAAUGGCUUCUCAAUGUUUCUUCUUGCUGAUUUGACUUCACCAUACACGACCAGGGGAUCAGAUAGGAACCCUGAGAAUGACUGAGAGGACCGUGGCUUUUGUUGACUCCAUAUUGAAGUAAAUUUGAGAAAGUCGGUUUGAGCAGUCUUCAAGAGGGUGUGAGCUUUGAGCUUGUGCUUGAUGUGUAAAGGUCAUCACAUAACAUUUAAUAACCUGUCACCACAACUAAAGACAGGUAUCAAAAGACAAUAAAGAGAUCAGAACAUGGUUUCUCACCAAGUCUGAUCUCCAAAAACACCUUAACAAAGAACACAAUGGACAUAAACUUUCUUGAAACUAUUCAAGCAACAACACUGAAUCCUAAUUAUCAUAACUAACCAUUCAGGUAACAUAGAAACAU
rnacentral:lncRNA from 1 species